rnacentral:lncRNA from 1 species
GGGAGACCAUUUGAAAUGGGACUGUUUUCCUGAUUUCUUUCUCAGCGUGUUCUUCAUAUGUAUAAAAGAAAGAUAAUGAUUUUUAUAUGCUAAUUUUGUAUCCUGUUACUUUGCUGAGGGGUCUAAGAGUUUUCUGCUGGUGUCUCUGAAAUUUUUUAAGUAUAGAAUUGUGCUAUGUGAGAAGAAAAAUUGACUUAUUCCUUUUUUACUUGUAGUCCUUUCAUUCCCUUUUCUUGUCUUAUUGCACCAGCUAGGACUUUGAUCAUGAUACUGAAUCAUGAAAAUGUGUUGCACCCUCAAAGUCUUUUCCUGUAUUUGUUGAUUAUGGUAUUUCUAUUCUUAAGUUUAUUCACGUGUUGUGUUACGUUUAUUUAUUUGUGUAUGUUGAACCAACUUCACAUCCUGCGAUGUGAAGAAAUCAACUCAUCUUAGUAUAUGAUCUUCUUAAUCUGUCCCUGAAAUUUAUUUGCCUCUAUCUUACUGAGUUUUGUACCAACGCUCACCAUGGAAAUGAUUGCAUAAUAUUCUUUUGUGUUGUGUCCUCAUCUCGUUUUAAACACAGGUAAAACAAUUCAAGAGAUAGACAUAGUUGAGCAAUUUCUGGAAAGGAUUCCAUUAGCACAAGAAAUAAUCCCAGGAAUUAACAAAUGAGAUUGAUUGCAUUACCUUUUAAAGUUUCUGUACAACAAAGGAACAGUCUUCUGGAAGAAGAGACAGUCUAUAGAGUAGGGAGGGGGAGUCUUUGACAGCCAUUCAUCAUAUAUUCUGCUUGUGGAAUGUAAGCUGGUACAGCUACCACAGAAUUCAGUGUAGUUCCUCAAAAUAAAAACUAAGUAUCAUACAAUCCAGCUACACCAUUCCUUGGGAUAUACCUUAAGGACUUUGAGUCAGCAUACCAUGGAGAUGUACACACAUAUGUAUUGAAUCAUUAUUUGCAAGAGUCAGGAAGAAGAGAAAGUUUUCACUUAUAUAUUGGUCCAUCACAAUUCCACCAUUAUUGUUGGUAAAUGACAUCAGUAUACAUAGACAUAUCUACAUACAAAGAUGGGCUAUUACUUGUAGUCCUGACAAAAAUGGCUUCCUACAAACCCAGGAAUUGUGUUAGAUGAACAAAAGAUACAUGCUGUGUUGAUGGUAACAUCAGUCCAUGGAGAAGUUUGUCCUUGAGAGAGGAGAACUUUCAUUUCUACUGUCUUUAUUAGAAUAUGGUCCACUAAUCCUUUGUUUGCACGUUUAUUGAUUGACAGAGUGUUCCAAAAUCUUUUAUUUUAUAUUCAUUCUAUGCUUCCUUUUCCACUUCAUUCAGUAUUUGCCACCAUGAGAGACAUCUGUAUCAUAACAUGAUGGUCUUGUGUCUAUCUUUCAUUAGAGUAGAAUCCUGAAAGUGUCUGUGGCUGGUAAGAAUUCACUUGACUGGGAAAGGGUCACUGGGACUCCCAGAAAAGUAGCUGGAGGGCAACAGACAGCACCCUUUGUGGGUUGCAGUGCAUAUAUUGUGUUUGUGUAAAAUUUACAAGGACUUUGGACACAGAUACACACCCCUCCUAGAUCUGUGAAAGCACCUAGGCAAGCAUGUUGAGACUUUGUUAACUUAUGGGUGCAUUUGCCAUUUUGACAGGCAUAUCCACCUCUUAAAUGCAGUGGGCAAUUUAAUAUUAGUGGGAAAAUAAAUUUUGGCCCGUUCUCAUCUCACAGAGAUACCUGAUGGUGAGGAGACAGAAAGAGUAGAUUUCAAAGCAUUUCCCAGACUGUCACUGAAAGGCAGGCAUGGAGAGUAAGUUUUAUGUGUCAGUUAUAUAUAUGUAAGCAUAUUCAGGUAUAGACAUAAACAAAUUGCAGUGCAUAAAAAGGAAAUUGAAUUUUGGAGAAGGAAGCAAUGACAUGAUCUAUUGCUGUGGACUGAACUCCCAUGCAAAGUGUCUUAAAGUUCACUCAUUAUUCUCUCUUUUAAUUUCUUGAAUUGGCAUACAAAAAUAUGGGUUUCAUUAUGACAUUUCUUUAAAAAAAAUUUUAAAAUUUCAUUUUACAUUCCAACCACAGUCCUCCUCCUGCACCCCCUAUCCCACCCCCAUCCACUCCUCCCAACAGAUAAGGGUUCCCAUGAGGAGUCAACAAACUCUGGCAUAUUAAGUUGAGGCAGACCCAAGCCUCUUUCUGCUGCAUUAAGGCUGAGUGUGGCAUCCACCAUAGGGAAUGGGCUCCAACAAGCUAGCUCAUGCACCAGGGAUACAUUGUGGUCCUACUGCCUAGUUCUGUCCCAGUCCCAUGGAGUUUUCACAGCUGUCAGUCUAGAGUGUAUGAGUUUCCACAAACUUGGUUCAGCUGUCUCUGUAGAUUUCUCCAUCAUGAUCUUGACCUCCCUUGCUCAUAUAUUCCCUCCUCCAUCUCUUUGAUUGGAUUCUCAGAGCUCAGUUUGGUGCUUGGUUGUGGAUCCCUGCCUCUGGUUCUAUCAGUUACUGGAUGAAGGCUCUGUGAUGAUAGUUGGGGUAUUCACCAAUCUGAUUACGGGGGAGGCCAGUUCAGGCAUCCUCUCCACUAUUGCCAAGAGUCUUAUCUGUGGUCAUCCUUGUGGAUUCUUGGGAAUUUCCCUAGCACCAGGUUUCUCCCUAACCCCAUAAUGACUCUCUCUAUCAAGAUACCUCUUUCAUUGCUCUCUGACUCCAUCCUCCCCACCUCUUGGCCAUUCUGUUACCUCAUGUACUCAUCAUACAUGUGUUCUCAUUUCUAUUACUGCCUUCCACUAUGCCUUGACCCUGAUGUACCUGGUUCCCUUCAUUCCUCUAAUUCCCCUUCUUUCUUUUCAUAUGUAUUCUGUUAGCAUUUAUUCUCCCAUCCACUUCCUUUUACGUUCCAAAAUGUAAAAUCCUUUUCUACACUCUUAUGAUCCCUUUUCAAGUUUCAUGACUCCUAUAACAUAUAUACAUAUCUAGACAUGUACAUAUACACAACUUUAAAUAUGUGUUCUGCAUAGGAAAACGUGUAGUAUUUCUCUUUUAAAGCAUCUUAUUUCACUUUACAUAAUAAUAUGCAUUCUCUUUUAUAAUUGGAUGGGUUCACUAGGUUCACCUAGGGACUUUCUGCUGAUUGUCACACCAGCUGGAGCUACAUCAGCUGGUGACCUGGCAGUGCUGGUACAUCCCAUUAGGUCACUCCCAUGGUUGGAACUUAUACUGCUAGCUAAGGGUUCAACUGAGGCCGUUAGCCAUAAUGACUUGGUGAAGACUGUGGCUGCUCAAUCAAAGAAACUGGAAGCCUCAGCACAAGAGGAACCAAUGAUGUAUCUCUAGUUCAGGGAUGAAGGCCUGUGGGUAUUGGGGAGCUGUUAGGGACUUGUGCAAAAAGCUGAAGAAUCUGGAGUUUGAUGGCCAUCUGUGACAGUAGCAACAGGGUCACAUCUAAGAAGGUUUGGUGCUUUGAAUGAAAAUGGCCCCCAUAGGUUCACAGGGGGUGGUAUUAUAUAAAAUGAUUAGUAUGAGUUGCUUUGUUGGAGUAGGUAUAGCCUUGUUGGAGGUUGUGUCACUAGGGGUGAAUUUUCAGGUUUCAGAAGCUCAAGCCAGACCUAGUAGCUUGCUCUUUCCUGAUAUCUUUCCUGGAUAAGUAUAUAAAACUCUUACCUUCUCUCCAGCAUCUUGUCUGCCUAUGUGCUACUAUGCUUCCCACCAUGAUGACAAUAGACUAAACUUCUAAACUGUAAACCAGCCCCACUGAAAUGUUUUCCUUUUUGAGACUUGCCAUGGGCAUGGUGUCUCUUCACAGCUAUAGACACUGACUAAGACAGCAGAGAUGGUCAAGCCUGAGUUUGCAGGCAACCGAGUUUUUUCUCUACUUUUUUGUUUCACCUUUGGAAUGAUGCCACUUACAUUCAGUGUGGUUCUUCCUCAUUCUAUGGAUUCACGUGGCCAUCUUUUCUGAAAACUUCCAGUUAGAUACACCCAGAGGUAUAAAAUUUGUCUAGGCACCUUUCAAUCCAGUCAAAUCAACAACCAAGAUUAAGUAUCAUAAUCAUUUCCAAACCAUCAUAUAGAUCAAAGUAAGUCAUAGUUAAGACAACUUGAAUUUGGAGGUGGGGAUAGUGGUGACAGAUUUUUUUUUUUUUUUGUAAAUGAACAGGAGAGUAAAGAAUUCGUGACAACAAAAUAGAAGAUAGGGGUUUGAAAUUUGUAUGUUCAUGUAAGAUCACAAUGUUGCAUGUAGAUUAUAAAAAUGGAAAUAAGCAAGACAGGGAGAUAAUGCUUAACACACAGUAAAUGCUCCAAGCAUUUCUUGUUUUAGCCUUUACAGCCAGAAUUUUUAGUGUAUGUCUUUUAACAUGCCUGUUCUUACAUUGCAGAAUUCAUAUAGUGUUUAUACUUCCAAGUACUCUGCUCAAAUCUUAAAACACCCACCAACUUAAAUCUUGUAUUUUUAGUUAGAAAACCUUGUCACUGUAUUUGUAAGGUCAUACAAUGUUGCCUUGGCUAUAUCUGUGGCAUUUGAGUUUCACAGGGCGACUUAGAACUACAUCACUUUCUUUUCUAUACCUAAGACGCACAUACGUGCUUGUAUAUGAACUCUAGUUCAUUAGGGUCCAAAGUUUAUUAGGGUUCGAAAGUUACACAGCAUCUUCUCAUUAUAUGAACAUGUAUGGACAUACAUACAGUCCAUUGACAGGAGAGAAGAUGACAUUUUCCAAAGCUAUUCAAUUCAAGGCAUUUUUCCAGCCUGAGACAAUCUGUUGAAAGAUGUGAGCAGUUUUACGGUGAGAGUGAUCCCAUCCUUCGCACAUGUUUGCCUCACACCACAAUAUUUCUACUGACAACUGAGUGGGGGAAGGGCAGCUUUGCAAAAUCAACAAAAUUUUUUUGCAAAGUAGAAGAAGGGAAUAGGGGCUUGUUUGUUCACAUGAAAUAUUAGCUCAAGUGCAGGAAGAAGCCAGGAGAGCUGUAAAGAUGAGGUGGGAAUAAAAACCCUUGAUGCAUGCACUACCCACUUGGGAUUAAAACCCAAGUCCAUCCUGGAACCUGAUAUAACCAUUCAUGUUGUAAUCUAAAGCCUUGUCAACGUACUGCAGGUGUGCACCACAUGACCAGGUGGGGGAAAAAAGAUACAAAGCCAACUGGGAAGAGAUGUGUCGGUUUCAUCUUCAUAAUACAUACAUCCCAAGGUGCAUGCAUGCAUCUGGUUUCUAUUUCAGAACUUUUACUAGUAGCUUUUCAAAAAAAAAAAAAAAACCUGAGGCAGACAAUUCUGUGAGUUAAGGAGACCAUAUGUUAAUAAGGAGUUGGGAGAGAUGUGGCCAAGUUGUUGGGGGGAGAUUUAAGAGGGAUACUGGGGACCAAGUGGAAGAAUCCAAAGGACCUGAAAGGAGGAGGUGCCCAGACUCGAGGCUGGACCACCUAAAUGGUCAUACAUUCCUUGGCAAUUCUAAAUCUUCAGAGAGCCCAAAGAAUUUUGAAGACAUGGAUUAAAAAAAUUGACUCCAGGCUGAUUGCACUUUGGACAGACCUAAAAUGCUUUUCUGAUGUGGAACAGAUGGAAAAAUCACUGAAUUCUAGCGCUGGAAGAGGCUUUAGAGUCAUAAUGUCCAGAUCGUCAUUGACAGGAUGGUUUCUUCUAGUUUCAUCCAUUUGCCUGUGAAUUUCAAGAUUCCAUUGAUUUUUUCUGCCAUUGUAUAAAUGUACAACACUCUACCACACUCCUCAAACUGUUCCGCACAAUAGAAGCAGAUGGGAUAUUGCCAAACUCUUCCUAUGAGGCUACAAUCACUUUGAUACCCAAGCCACACAAAGAUAUGACUAAGAAAGAGAACUACAGACCGAUAUCCCUCAUGAACAUCGAUGCUAAAAUACUUAAUAAAAUAUUGGCGAACCGAAUCCAAGA